CUCAACGAAGUGGCUUUUCAUCACGUGGACGUUUAUGGCGGCAGCCGAAUACUCUGAACGCGUGUUGCCUAUUCUAAAUGUGGAGGGAUGCGGUGCUGCGGUGCUGCCAGACGCGUCUCUGCGUGCCUUAGGGGUGUCAUCUAUUCAUCGGCGAAGACCCAUUCUUCGCACACCUAUUCAAUUUGCUGUUUGACGAUGCUCUAAAAUUAUGUUAAUGCGUGUGGAUGGAGCGGUGGAUUGAGCAAGUAUUUUACACCAGUCUGCUGUCAACCUAUUCGGUAUGGCAGGCCCCCCCACCCCGCCAAUCAAGACCACUGGUUUCAAAGCAAUGGCUCAAGACCUUCUCGCAGACUGAAUGUGAACAUCAACGCGCUACGACACUUCGCUCAAUACCGCGUUGAGCUGCUUCAUCGCCAAGUUACCGCGGCAGCAUUUGCUGGAGGCGCGGCGCACUGAGUGACAGCUUGGGGUCACGCUCGGGAUCAGGCAGAGACAGCUGCUUUGCUUCAGACUGCAUGUGGGGGACAGCCUGGUUGGGGAGGAGGGUUCACUGGGGUCACAUCUGCAGAGACGACUGCCUCCCUCCGCUCUCACGUCAACUUCGUUAUCUGCGAGCCCAUCCAAUUCCACCCACGCACGCGGGAAAGAUCCCCAGCGCGCACGUGCGGAUGCAGUCGCAGCGACGCUGCUUGUUUGCUACGUACGAUGCGAAAGAAGUUCCAACACGCACACACACAGUGAGCGUCUACUAGGAGCCAACACGGCACGCGAGGGUGAUGUGGCUGGAACUCAAAACCAUGCACGACCACCUUUGUCUCCCCAGGUGGUGUUCAUGCCUAUAAACAGCACACGGUAUUUGAAACUGAAGCUGAGCAGACCCAAUUAAAAACGAUCUCCGAUGAGGAUGGCGUCUUGGUGUCAUAGUUUAGCACACUGGACCUGCAAUGCAGAGGUUUCUGGUUUGAUCUGAAUCAAUGGGUACGUUUCUUAAACUUCCCCACCCCUCUCCAUGUCGUGUGGUAGAAUGUGGGUACAAGUACCCAUUUCUUCCAAGACCUCUGAUCAACAUUGUCGACCAAAAACCCUCUAGAAGGCUUCUCUCUAUUGCGAGGCCCUUCUGCCAGCAGUGGUGUGAGCAAGACAUUGCAGGGCUGCGCCUUUAACCAAUAUUGUUUUUUUUCUUCUAAGCAGAUGGUGUGCGUGGUCAGGAUAUUAAUCCAGGUCACCAAGAUUGUAGCAGCGUCUGCGAGAGACAUCGCACAGCCACUCAUCACAGAGGUCUGACGCAUUCACCACCACUGGUGGGGGGUGACGCCGGUUCAUUCGGUGGGCUCGUCAUGUCACGCAAUAGCCAGUGGAAGGAGGGUGCGCAUGGGAGAGAGAAACCACAGAUGCAGCGGGCUUGAUGGAGAGGGAAGCAGCGUGGGGGCAUUCGGAGGGAAACGGGAAGAGCGAGUGUUGAUGAACGAGGCGGAUGGAUGAGCAAGCGAGGCAGAGGCGACGACUGCCAUCGCCUCCUAUCCCAGCAUCUGCAGCAGCGGGCGCUCGCCGUAAACUUUGCUGGAAUUAUUGGGUAAACAGCUCGGACGUUAAGAAUAAAGCACAAUACAUUGUGGACGUAAACAAAAAGGGAAAGUUGCGAUAGAUGGAGCGUUUGAGCAGGACGGGGGUGGGUAGCAGAACAGGCAUUGGAGUCGCACCCUGAGGAUGCUGACCAAGAAGAAGUCUUAAUGCAAGGGAGUGGUGGCAAUGAAACUAAGCUUAGACCUCGGAGGAAAAGUCUCUGAAGUGAAACAGCUGCCGGACCUCGCAAAAGGUUGGAAUCGACUUCAAAGUGCUGGCAUCAACAGCACUGGAUGUGAAGACCCCUUUAUAACCGUGAAGAGCUCUUCCUAUGUUCGCUUGUCAAUCAUAGGCAACACCAAUGACGCUGGCGUUGAUAUAGCUGCAGAGGAAGCUCUCAAAAUGAAUCCUGUCUUGCUCGAGCGGAUGUCUGUGCACCAGAGUGUACGCAUGCAUGAGAAAAAAAAUCUCAUUUCAUGUUACAUCACAAAGCAAUUUCCUUACUUGCACAAGUUUAUGUACAGAAAUAUUGCAAACAUAUCUGUAAAACUAAAUGGUAAACCACAUAAAAAAA